GGAAGGCAACGGCGGGAUCGCGGCGUGCAGAGAACCGAAAUUCCCAUCUUUCUCUUCCAUACGCUCCGCUCCUACCGGAAGAUUGGCUUAUUUUGCUCCAGAGCCUUGUUUGUAAUGAACAAAGUUUUAAAUUCCAUUUAUAUGUCGUGAGAGCCUUCCACCAUCAUCAAUUUCCCUAAGGCAUGGCCUGUAAAUUAUGAUGAUAUUCAAUUCAGUGAGACAAAAGCUCUAAACUUGGCAUCCAGACCAAAACAAAAACAAAAAAGUUACCCGUCUUCUACUUUAGCCAACCAAAUAUCUCCAAACAAUCAGACAUUUUACAGUCGAUGAAGGAGGAUUUGUGGAUCUGUGCAUGCCCCCAGUGAGAGAAGAACCUCGUUGAAAGGAAAAUUAGGACUUCAACAUUCAGUCCUAAUGGGUUCGGUGGAUCUCAGUCGGAUGCUUUUGUCCUCUGCUAUCAUUAGGCUGCUUUUGUUGAUUUACGGGGAAUGGCAGGAUGCCCACUUGGAGGUCCGUUACACUGAUGUUGACUACCUUGUAUUUUCAGAUGCGGCUACCAUGGUAGCUGCUGGAAGGUCACCAUAUGAGAGAUCCACUUACCGUUACUCUCCUCUUCUGGCUUUCUUGCUUGUACCCAACUCCUUCCUCCAUCGAUCAUGGGGGAAGAUGCUUUUCUCCGCAUCUGAUUUGCUGGUGGGAUUAUUUAUUUACAGGAUCUUGAGGCAGCGUGGUGUUUCUGAGAAAGUCUCACUUUGGUGCGUGGCUGCUUGGCUUUUCAACCCAUUUACAUUCACCAUCGGCACCAGAGGAAAUUGUGAGCCUAUCGUCUGCGCAUUUGUUUUAUGGAUUAUCUUAUGUCUUAUGAAUGGUAAGGUGUAUCAGGCAGCUUUCUGGUACGGGCUCAUCGUCCACUUCAGGAUCUACCCAAUCAUAUAUAGCCUUCCGUUUGUUAUAGUUAUCAGCAGAAUGGACAUGGCUCCUGGAAAGCCAAACCUCAGCCAGUGGGUUCCAACGCUCAAAAUCUUACCAGAAAGCUCUUCUUCAAAUAUCUGGUUUUUAGUGAGGGCCAUAUUCUCAAAAAACGCCAUUUUAUUUGGGCUGUUUUCUGGCUCCGUGUUCUUCGCAUUUACUGCUAUUUUCUUCCAUAUAUACGGAUGGGAGUUUUUGAAUGAAGCCCUCCUGUAUCACCUGACUCGCACAGAUCCUAGGCAUAAUUUCUCCAUCUAUUUCUACUAUAUUUAUUUGCAUCACCAGCAGGGUUUCUCAGCUUUAGAAAAGCUCUUCUCCUUCUUGCCUCAAUUGAUUGUGCAGUUCACUCUAGUCUUUCAGUUUUCUGAAGAUCUCCCGUUUUGUCUCUUUGUUCAGACGGUGGCAUUUGUUUCAUUUAAUAAGGUUAUUACUGCACAGUAUUUUGUGUGGUUCUUCUGCCUAUUGCCACUUAUUCUUCCUUGGAGCAGAAUGAGACUCAAAUGGAAGGGUUUUCUCUGCUUCUCUUUAUGGCUGGGAUCGCAAUUACAUUGGCUUAUGUGGGCUUAUUUGCUAGAAUUUAAGGGUUGGAAUGUGUUUUCACAACUAUGGUUGGCUAGCAUACUAUUCUUGGCUGCAAACACAUAUGUCUUGGUCAUGCUGAUUAAACACCAGGUCUGCUCUCCGAUUUUUAAGCCGUUAGUUCAUUCUCAUGAUGAUAAAUCAAAUUCAUGAUGUGCCUAGUGGUGCUGAAGAAUUGAUAAAAUUAUUUAAGAAACUUAUAAAUUGGGUGUCACCAAAUAGCUUACUCAACAAGUAAUUCUAGAAUCAUCGAUUGUCCAAGUGAUGAGGGAAUGCAGCAGGGUUCAAGAACUACAGUUAAUGUAACUAAGAUAACAGUUUCCAUUCUGGCAGUCACAUAACCUUUUCUACUGAUAUAAUGUCACCCUUGGGAGCAAGCUUAAAUCAAUAUACCAAGCUCAGGAAGUAUAUAAGUUCGCCUUAUGAUCCACGAUACAGGUAAAUCAAACCUCCACUUCGGUAUAGUAAAAUAGAAAGAAGAGAUUGCUCAUUCUACUCUUUUGUUGUCUCUUCUUCUGAGCCUGGAAGAUGUUUCUUAUCAUAUUAGUAGUCUAUUCAACCUGGAUAUGCCCAUUUGAACUGGCUUUCUUACCAAAUUCGCUUUCUUAUGUGGAGAACAUAGUGAAUGGUUUCUUCAGAAUUGAUAUAGCUGUCACCUUCUUUGUUUCUUACUUGAUCAUAAAUCAUGUCUUCUGGUAGAUGAUCACAAGAGAAUUGCAACAAGGUGCAACAGAAUAUGGAAGUGAGGAAACAUAGAGGAAACUUGGAGCAAAAGAGCUUAUUGAACAUUAGCGCUUAGGCGCCGGACCCCUGGACGUCGAGGCGUCGGUCCCUCCCUUUGACAACCCGAGUGAUUAGGGCCUCGUCACCAACCACUAGGCGCCUAAGUGCCGUGAUAUUGGCACCUAGGCAUUGUGAUACUGGUGUCGAGGCGUCGAACCAUGAGCGCCUGGGCGCCCAAGCCUUCUACAACAUAUAGAGAGACUGGCGCCCAAGUGCCAGCCCCUGGGUGCCAGUUAGAGUAGUUUUCACAGUUCAGGAAGCAUGUCAUGAAAAGUUUCUUAGAAAGAUGUGGAGUGUUUUUCAUGCUCAAUGAUAAAGUCUGUAAAUAACAAUGUAUUAGGGAAUUAGGAGAUGGAUGCCCUAUGGGUAAGAUUGAUUCAAGUGGAACUUUGGAUUGAUGAUGAUUGGACAUUUAAGGGCUUAGUUUGUUGUAGAGUUUCUUCUUUUCCUCCUAGUGCAGAGCCUAGCAAGAGCCUUCAGCAAAGUGGCCUAGAAGACAGGAGGAGCAUUGAUUGAGCAUC